GGCCUGUUUGGUAGUGCUUCACAUCUGUGAUCAACUUUUUUACGAAAGAUUUGUAGGAGAAAAUAAAGUGUUAUAAUCUCAAUGUUUUCAAUCCAAAAUGAAAACAAAGUACCUCAACCAAAUACUUUUAAUCGAUGUUGCCACCUCCAACAUUUUCUGAAGCGGUAGAGAUGUCUAUCUCCAAGAGUUCUAGAAGGUGGGAUUUUUCACAAAUCAGGAGUAACCUUGGAGAAGGGUGAUUGUCGGGAACUUCUGUCCGAGUGCAUUUUCGGCUUUACUGAGUGUUUUUGACACUUGGGACCAACACACAUUCCAGGAUCUUCCUUC
rnacentral:lncRNA from 1 species